rnacentral:lncRNA from 1 species
GAAUGAGGGCAAAUUAUUUAGUAUUUUCUAAGUUCCAAAGUUCCAACAUUCUUGAAAGGGAAAAGCCAUUUACUGUAUUUGAUAGGCUGGCGCCACUGGCCAGAUGAAAGUGCAAAUAUCCCCAGCUACUCGUGGAUCAUCAUCAUCAUCACCAAAAUCUUCAAUGUUCCUGGCAGCUUAAAGUACCAACUGGGACACUUGUCACUAGUUUGAGAAGUGCAGCCAUAGGUGAGUUCUCUCCACCCCAACUUUCUUAGUCAUCCUGCCCUGAACAAAUCAGCUCAAGCCAGUCCCCCGCCAGUGCCACUUUCCACUUGUCUCCAUUGAAACCUUCACCCUCCUUCAAGGCCCACCAGCAGCCCUUCGCAGAUGCCCACCUCCCCAGCCUCUACAGCCCUUUGUUUCCAUCAGUCCCUCUCCCUGGCUCAGUCUCUGCUUUCAUAAGGAGCCGGCUCUCUGUUCACCCAGAUUUAACUUGCUCAGAGGCAGAAACUUAGGCUUCUUUAUAUGCUCCCAAUGUUUAGUUCCAUACUGGGAACAAAGUAGGUGUCCGGUAUUUUUUUAUUGGUUUCCCUUUA